rnacentral:rRNA from 1 species
CGGAUCGGCCCCGAAAAUUGAUGGCGCUCGAACGCAACCCUCGAACCCCGCCGACGGAGGCUAGGGGAGGCCCCGUCGAGUAGGCGGACGCGCGGGUCGCUUCGACGCUCUCGCGCGAGCGGGGGCGGAGCGGCCCGUGGUGCAGAUCUUGGUGGUAGUAGCGAUCACCCAGGCGAGAACCCUGAGGGCCGAAGUGGAGAAGGGUUUCCCGAGAACGGCACUCGCUCGAGAGUUAGUCGAUCCUAAGCUGCCGGCGGCAGCCACGAAACGGUCGAUCGGGCGCGAGCCCGGCAGCCACGACCGGGCAGCGAAAGGGAAUUGGGAACCUCCUUCCCAAACCCGGAACCCGGAACGAGGGCGGCGACGCGAACGAAACGGCCGCGGAGACGGCGGCCGCGGCCCCGGAGAGAGUUCUCUUUUCUGUGCGACUGGACGUCGGCCCCGGAAUCGCGUCGAGCGG